UACAGAGGGUGCGAGCGUUAAUCGGAUUUACUGGGCGUAAAGGGUGCGUAGGUGGUCACGAAAGUCGGAUGUGAAAGCCCUGGGCUCAACCUGGGAAUGCCAUUCGAUACUCCGCGACUAGAAUUCGGUAGAGGGAGGCGGAACUCCAGGUGUAGCGGUGAAAUGCGUAGAGAUCGGAAGGAACAUCAGUGGCGAAGGCGGCCAUCUGGGACAACACUGACGCUGAAGCACGAAAGCGUGGGGAGCAAACAGG
rnacentral:rRNA from 1 species